GUGGUUGACUCUGGUCUGGAAGCCCAGGAACCUCCUUUUGGCCUAUCCUCAGAAGGUCAAUAGUAACCUAAUGCUGAAUUACAGUGCCUGCGUCAUUCACCUCACUUCAUCUCAUCAUGUAGUCAUUUUAUCAUCUCACAUCAUCACAAGAAGAAGAAGGGUUGUGUGCAAACUGAAGUGGUUGGAAAAUCUAUUGGUCGUGCACAUUUUAAAAACUCUUUGUGAAAUAAAGUGUUGGACUCAGACUUCCAAGUGGCCACCAGUCUGGAGCAAAGUAUAUUGAGAAGUAAAAUGGUUUGUCUUCAACUGCUCAUCCCCUUUCGACAUCUGUUCCCUUGGAGGAUGCCAGUGCCCCAGGACCUGGUGCUGGAAAUAACGGCAGCUGGAGCUCACCAGCUUCUUGGACUCACAAAGAUCCUCAUUGCUCUGGGCCUGGUUUGCUGCCUGUCAUUCCUCAGGAGUUCCCUGGUCUAUGGAGCCCAAGCUGUGCCAUUUAUAUCAGUAAGUGGCUAUUCACCCUGCA